UAAUACGUAGGGGGCAAGCGUUGUCCGGACUUACUGGGCGUAAAGCGCGCGCAGGCGGAUGGGUAUGUGCCGUGUGAAAGCGCCGUCCUUACGAUGGCGAGGUCAUGGUAGACAGCCCGUCUGGAGGCUCGAAGAGGUCGGUGGAAUUCCGGGUGGAGCGGUGAAAUGCGUAGAUAUCCGGAGGAACACCAGGGGCGAAAGCGGCCGACUGGUCGAGUACUGACGCUGAGGCGCGACGGCGUGGGGAGCAAACCGGAUUAGAUACCCGGGUAGUCCACGCAGUAAACGAUGCACACCCGGUGUGGGGGCAGGAUUUCCUCCUGUCUCCGUGCCCAAGGUUACCUGAUGAGUGUGCCGCCUGGGGACUACGAGCGCAAGCUUA
rnacentral:rRNA from 1 species